rnacentral:misc_RNA from 1 species
UUUCCGUAGGUGAACCUGCGGAAGGAUCAUUAAAAAAAAAUAUAGGUUUUAAUUCUACAUAUUUGUGCAUGCAUUGAAAAGAUUUUGCUUUUGGGAGAAUCUACUUUCUCCCAGAGGCAGGUCCAAACCCACAUUUUUAAUAUGGAUGCAUUUUUAUCUUUUACAAAACAAAUACAACUUUCAACAACGGAUCUCUUGGCUCUC